rnacentral:rRNA from 1 species
CCUACGGGAGGCUGCAGUGGGGAAUAUUGCACAAUGGGCGCAAGCCUGAUGCAGCCAUGCCGCGUGUGUGAAGAAGGCCUUCGGGUUGUAAAGCACUUUCAGCGGGGAGGAAGGCGGUGAGGUUAAUAACCUCAUCGAUUGACGUUACCCGCAGAAGAAGCACCGGCUAACUCCGUGCCAGCAGCCGCGGUAAUACGGAGGGUGCAAGCGUUAAUCGGGAUUACUGGGCGUAAAGCGCACGCAGGCGGUCUGUCAAGUCGGAUGUGAAAUCCCCGGGCUCAACCUGGGAACUGCAUUCGAAACUGGCAGGCUAGAGUCUUGUAGAGGGGGGUAGAAUUCCAGGUGUAGCGGUGAAAUGCGUAGAGAUCUGGAGGAAUACCGGUGGCGAAGGCGGCCCCCUGGACAAAGACUGACGCUCAGGUGCGAAAGCGUGGGGAGCAAACAGGAUUAGAUACCCGUGUAGUC